rnacentral:lncRNA from 1 species
CAGAGUGCACCGCGUGGCAAGGCACGCUGACGCGGUGCUAUGCGAAAGGCCACGCUAGCGAUCUGCGUGCCCACGAUCAGACGGUUCGGAUUUGUUCCUGUGCGCACUUACGGUCCAGAUAUGUUCCCUCCUCAGACGCGAUCGAAUAGUCACGAUUAAACACGAUGAACGAUCCAGAUCCACUCCCUAUUUAAACGUGAUUGGACGACACAGAUCAAAUUGUGAUGAAC